CAGAGAACUUGCCCUUUGGGGUAGAUCUCCCACCCUUUGUUUACCACACCUUUGUUGCUUUGGCAGGCCCGCCUCGGGCCGCUGGCUUCGGCUGGUCAGCGCCUGCCAGAGGAUCUCAAACUCUUGAUUUAGUGUUGUCUGAGUACUUGAUAAUAGUUA
rnacentral:misc_RNA from 1 species